rnacentral:rRNA from 1 species
CAUGUAGGCGGCAUGACAAGUCUGGUGUGAAAUAUCUCGGCUCAACCGAGAAAACGCACUGGAAACUGUCAAGCUUGAGUAUCGGAGGGGAAGCUAGAAUUCCUGGUGUAGGGGUGAAAUCUGUAGAUAUCAGGAAGAAUACCGGUGGCGAAGGCGAGCUUCUGGCCAGAUACUGACGCUGAGAUGCGAAAGCGUGGGGAUCAAACAGGAUUAGAUACCCUGGUAGUCC